UUGUGUGGUAAGUGAUGACAAAUAUAAUCCCAGCUCUAUGAGACCUUCGCUACUGCAAGGUCUGGGAUUAGAUUUGUUUACAGUUGUCUGAGCCACGU
rfam:Glycine max cultivar Williams 82 chromosome 13, whole genome shotgun sequence.